rnacentral:rRNA from 1 species
GAGUUUGAUCGUGGCUCAGAACGAACGCUGGCGGCAGGCCUCAAACAUGCAAGUCUAGGGGGUGUAGCAAUACAUCACCGGCGGACGGGUGCGUAACACGUGGGAAUAUACCUUUUGGUUCGGAACAACGCAGGGAAACUUGCGCUAAUACCGAAUGUGCCCUUACGGGGAAAGAUUUAUCGCCAAAGGAUUAGCCCGCGUCCGAUUAGCUAGUUGGUGAGGUAAUGGCUCACCAAGGCUCCGAUCGGUAGCUGUUCUGAGAGGAAGAUCAGCCACACUGGGACUGAGACACGGCCCAGACUCCUACGGGAGGCAGCAGUGGGGAAUAUUGGACAAUGGGGGAAACCCUGAUCCAGCAAUGCCGCGUGUGUGAAGAAGG